GAUGAAGAACGUAGUGAAAUGCGAUACGUAAUGUGAAUUGCAGAAUUCAGUGAAUCAUCGAAUCUUUGAACGCAUAUUGCGCUCUCUGGUAUUCCGGAGAGCAUGCUUGUUUGAGUAUCAGUAAACACCUCAACUCCCUUUUCUUUUUUGAAAUGGGAGCUGGACUUGAGUGAUCUCAACACUUUUCUCACUGGAAAGUGGCGGGUCACUUGAAAUGCAGGUGCAGCUGGACUUUUCUCUGAGCUAUAAGCAUAUCUAUUUAGUCUGCCUAAAAAACAGAUUAUUACCUUUGCUGCAGCUAACAUAAAGGAGAUGAGUUCUUGUGCUGACUGAUGCAGGAUUCACAGAGACAGCUUUGCGGCUGACUUUGUAAACUCGAUCUCAAAUCAAGUAAGACUACCCGCUGAACUUAAGCAUAUCAAUAAGCGGAGGA
rnacentral:misc_RNA from 1 species